rnacentral:lncRNA from 1 species
AGGGCUAACGUUACACUGAAUUUUCGGGAGGAAUCUCCCAGAUCACUUUUUCCCCACACACAAAUAAGAAUCUUUUCACGUAAUAUGUCAUAAUCAUUAGAUUGAUAUACAGCAUGGCAACAAGAUUUUGGCCAUAGUCAGUGAGGCAGUGCGUAGAUCCACAGGUGGAUGCAGUGCUGCUCAAAGAAAAAGAUGGAGUCUUAUCAAAACAUACUCAGACAUUUUUAGACCAUCUAUUUUAGCUACUUCUUUCCCUGGCAAUAACCUCAGAAAAACUCCUGUUGGAAGCACCACUGAUGCUAACAGUACGUCCACUAAAAUAUCUUUGGUGAAAUGGUGAGUUUUCCUUCCAAAACUCAUAAAAACUAUUCCAAAUGUGAAUUUUGCAUCUCAAGCUGAAGUAACAGUAGGCUGACCUUUCUUUAACCUAUCCCUUUACCUAUGCUACUGUUUAAAUACUGAUGUUAUAUCUCUAAUGACUCCUAUACAGUCAGAAUAUACUUGGACAAGUUGUGUGACCUUAGCUCACCUAAGUCUUCAUACAGUUACUGAGAAUGGUAUAUAUAGGAAUAU